rnacentral:rRNA from 1 species
GAAUUCGAUUAGAGUUUGAUCCUGGCUCAGAAUCAACGCUGGCGGCGUGCCUAACACAUGCAAGUCGAACGCGAAAGGGGCUUCGGCUCUGAGUAGAGUGGCGAACGGGUGAGUAACACGUGGGUGACCUACCUUCGAGUGGGGGAUAACGUCCCGAAAGGGACGCUAAUACCGCAUAACAUCCCGUCCUUGAACGGAUGGAGAUCAAAGCUGGGGAUCGCAAGACCUGGCGUUUGAAGAGGGGCCCGCGCCCGAUUAGCUAGUUGGUGAGGUAACGGCUCACCAAGGCGACGAUCGGUAACCGGCCUGAGAGGGCGGACGGUCACACUGGGACUGAGACACGGCCCAGACUCCUACGGGAGGCAGCAGUGGGGAAUUGUUCACAAUGGGCGCAAGCCUGAUGACGCAACGCCGCGUGGAGGAUGAAGGUCUUCGGAUUGUAAACUCCUGUUGCCCGGGACGAAAUGCUUUGACCUAACACGUCAAAGCUUGACGGUACCGGGUGAGGAAGCCCCGGCUAACUCUGUGCCAGCAGCCGCGGUAAUACAGAGGGGGCAAGCGUUGUUCGGAAUUACUGGGCGUAAAGGGCGCGUAGGUGGCCUUCUAAGUCGAACGUGAAAUCCCUGGGCUUAACCCAGGAACUGCGUCCGAGACUGGGAGGCUUGAAUCCGGGAGAGGGAUGCGGAAUUCCAGGUGUAGCGGUGAAAUGCGUAGAUAUCUGGAGGAACACCGGUGGCGAAGGCGGCAUCCUGGACCGGUAUUGACACUGAGGCGCGAAAGCCAGGGGAGCAAACGGGAUUAGAUACCCCGGUAGUCCUGGCCCUAAACGAUGAAUGCUUGGUGUGGCGGGUAU